GACGAACGCUGGCGGCGUGCUUAACACAUGCAAGUCGAACGGACGAGUGAGAUAAGUUUACUUAACUCACAAGUUAGUGGCGGACGGGUGAGUAACACGUGGAUAAUCUACCUGCAACACCGGGAUAACGCUGUGAAAACGGUGCUAAUACCGGAUACGUUCCCUUGUGCGCAUGUAUGAGGGAAGAAAGCUCAGGCGGUUGCAGAUGAGUCCGCGGCUGAUUAGCUAGUUGGUGAGGUAAAGGCUCACCAAGGCGAUGAUCAGUAGCCGGCCUGAGAGGGUGAACGGCCACACUGGGACUGAGACACGGCCCAGACUCCUACGGGAGGCAGCAGUGGGGAAUCUUCCGCAAUGGGCGCAAGCCUGACGGAGCAACGCCGCGUGGGUGAAGAAGGCCUUCGGGUUGUAAAGCCUGUCUUAUGGGAAGAAGUCAGUGACGGUACCAUAGGAGGAAGCCACGGCUAACUACGUGCCAGCCGCCGCGGUAACUACCCACGAGACG
rnacentral:rRNA from 1 species